rnacentral:lncRNA from 1 species
GCCUUUUAGAGGAAAGGUAAAGGGCUGAGCAGCCCAGAGAGUGUUCUUGCCAAUUAAAAUAUGAUCCUGUCAGCUGAGAUGCUGACAAAGCAGUGCUCUGACACGUUGUCCAGAGUUUUAAAACAGAAAGCAUUGGUAUGGCAAGUUAAAACCCCCGUGGAUGGAGCAUGAGUACUUAAUUACAGCAUGAUAGAUCACAGUAGGCAAUCCCCCUCUCUCCACCCACCAGCCUUUGAGAAAGCCCCCAGUGACAAGUGUCAAGUCUGUUUGGCUUCAGUGAAGCAAAAUAGUCACUCUAUUCAGCCACUGUUCUGAGUGCAAAAUAAACUGAAGCACUUUGAGAACCCCUGCUUUUGAGACUUUAACUGGAAAUCAAUGAAAAGCAAACAGGCUGUAUUAAGAAGCCAUAUUUGGAUAAACUCAAAGAGAUCCCAAGACUGAGCAGAAGGUUCCUAUUGGCUGUCCCCUGCUGACAACAGACAGAUCUUUUGGUGAUACCUGCAGAAGCCUGGCACCAACCUUAUGACUUGGCAGAUCAUGAGAUGAGCCAGAGAAACCCUCUGGAAAACCUGAGUUUAAAACACACUAGACUGCUGUACAGGAAGGCUGAGAGGACUGUUUUCUCAUUUGGACUGCAUCUUGCUUUUAUAAAAUCUUUGCUCCUCCCUUUUUGA